GUUAGCGGCGGACGGGUGAGUAACACGUAGGCAACCUGCCCUCAAGCUUGGGACAACUACCGGAAACGGUAGCUAAUACCGAAUACUUGCUUCUUUCGCCUGAAGGAAGCUGGAAAGACGGAGCAAUCUGUCACUUGAGGAUGGGCCUGCGGCGCAUUAGCUAGUUGGUGAGGUAACGGCUCACCAAGGCGACGAUGCGUAGCCGACCUGAGAGGGUGAUCGGCCACACUGGGAC
rnacentral:rRNA from 1 species